UCAAUUUAUUUUCAUUAUUAUUGUCAAUAUUCCAACAAGAUAUCGAGUCACUGUAUCAGAAAUGAAUGCAACCAAAUGGAAUAAGGAAAAUAAGGUUUACACAAGUCAAUUUUACAAGAUACAAGAUUUGCAAGGGUGUUGAGAACAUUUUCUUGCUGAGUAACUCUCUUUCUGUUUUAUUUAACUGUUCGCAUUGAUUUACUAUGAAUAUGGAAUCUGUAUUGGAACUGCAGGAACAUUGGUGGGCAUUUGUGAGCAAGUUUAUUGGAAGCGAACAUGGCUUAGCUUCCCAAAGUGAAGAACUAUCUUUUUUAUUGCCCCUGUCUCUGUGGGUGAGUACCCUUAUGCUAAGGCAAUGUAUGAUUGUAGUUGGAGUGGAUAGAGAAAGAAGGAACUAUGGUUGAACUUCUGUCUUGAAGACUUACUGAGCUUGCAUUGAUUUUUGCAUCCUCCAUGUAACUUGGUGUCCACUCUUUUUUCAACUCCAUACUCCUGCAGUUCUGCCAAUGAUGUAAUAAGUUAUUUUCAUUUGUAUGCAUCUUGAAAUGCUGAUUCGGACCGGUAUCAUGGAACGUGAUGCUGAAGUCGAUUUUAAGGUUCCAGUGGAUGAUAAACAUGGAUGUUUUCAUUUCAAAGCUGAAGAGGGAAACUGUUGAUAAGGAACCUCUUUGCUCAAUUGACCGUCUAAUAUAUGCCAUUGUUACAAACAGAAAUGCCUAUUCUUAGUACCUGAAGAGAUGCACAACCAUUGCAAUUGGUCA